rnacentral:rRNA from 1 species
GCCUACGGGGCGCAGCAGUAGGGAAUCUUCCACAAUGGGCGAAAGCCUGAUGGAGCAACGCCGCGUGGGUAAAGAAGGUCUUCGGAUCGUAAAACCCUGUUGUUAGAGAAGAAAGUGCGUGAGAGUAACUGUUCACGUUUCGACGGUAUCUAACCAGAAAGCCACGGCUAACUACGUGCCAGCAGCCGCGGUAAUACGUAGGUGGCAAGCGUUAUCCGGAUUUAUUGGGCGUAAAGGGAACGCAGGCGAUCUUUUAAGUCUGAUGUGAAAGCCUUCGGCUUAACCGGAGUAGUGCAUUGGAAACU